AUGCUGGAAAAUGAAGGUUUUAAACUGGGCACAGUGCCAAGCCAAAGAUACCUGGGGGUUCUGUUAAUAGAGAAGGUAAAAGAAUAUUGUGUAGGUCAUUGCUGUAUCUUAUAUGUUUUAAGGUUUCUACUCAGGAGACAAGAACAAGCUUGUCAGAUAAAAGCAAAUUGUGAACAAACUUCUAUGAAUAGUUGUGUCCCACGGUGGAAGGGCAUCAAGGAACAAAUGUCAUCUUCAUUAGAGAGCUUCAGUAGUUCAUCUUCCUAUGGCAUCAAGCUGCCUCUCGUGUCAGAGAGAUCAGCACAAUUCAAAGCACCUUACUGAUUGAACAAACAGGAUGACUCUGCCAUUUUUUAAGUUCUAGGAAUUUGCCCUAAAGUUGACAUCCUUUAGUGCAAGGAGAUAAUUGAGAAGGAAGUUCAAUUGUUUUAGCUGCUUCAACAUAGUGGAAACUGUUGAAAGUGAUGGUUUAAAAUAGAAAAAUGUGAACAUCAAAAGAUCUCAGAAAACAGGUAUUUUUUUUCAAGAGUGACCUUCUCUAUAUGAUUGUGAUGUAAUGUCCAAUGGAGACUGAAGGGAUGUCAAUCCAUAAUAUCAUACAAUUGUGUCAGAAAAAUUAUGCUAAGAAGUCCCUCAUGUGAAUCACCCUUUGCUAAGUCUAAGUACUGCAUAGCUGCAAUUGUAACCUAAUUUAAAAACUUUUUAUUGUAAAAUACAUGUAACAUAAAUUUUUUCCUAUGUUUACUAUAAAAUCCUGGCUCUCCUUCCAAAAUCUUAAUUUAUUUUUCCUAGUAACAAUUAUUCUCUGAUAAUGAGGACCUUCUAAAUUAUUCCUAAUAUGGAUGAGUUAAUUGAGUUUUGUGCCCAAGACCAUAAGGCUUAAGGAACCACCUCUUUGUCCAGAUAUGGACCCCACCUGUGGUCCUGUUUCCAACAUUCAAUCUGACUUGGUAGAGACCCUCUGUCCUCCUUGCCCACUUGGUCUGUCCUAUUUUUUGCCUCUGAGCAUGGACAGUUUACUUCAAACCAUGGAAAAUAGGUACCAAUAAAGAUCAUUUUUAGGAAACCA
rnacentral:lncRNA from 12 species